UACGUAGGGUGCAAGCGUUGUCCGGAAUUAUUGGGCGUAAAGAGCUCGUAGGCGGUCUGUCACGUCGGCUGUGAAAACCCGAGGCUCAACCUCGGGCCUGCAGUCGAUACGGGCAAACUAGAGUACUGCAGGGGAGACUGGAAUUCCUGGUGUAGCGGUGAAAUGCGCAGAUAUCAGGAGGAACACCGGUGGCGAAGGCGGGUCUCUGGGCAGUAACUGACGCUGGAGGAGCGAAAAGCGUGGGGAGCGAACAGG
rnacentral:rRNA from 1 species